UGCAAGUCGAGCGAAUGGAUUGAGAGCUUGCUCUCAAGAAGUUAGCGGCGGACGGGUGAGUAACACGUGGGUAACCUGCCCAUAAGACUGGGAUAACUCCGGGAAACCCGGGGCUAAUACCGGAUAAUAUUUUGAACUGCAUGGUUCGAAAUUGAAAGGCGGCUUCGGGCUGUCACUUUAUGGAUGGACCCGCGUCGCAUUAGCUAGUUGGUGAGGUAACGGCUCACCAAGGCAACGAUGCGUAGCCNGACCUGAGAGGGUGAUCGGCCACACUUGGGACUGAGACACGGCCCAGACUCCUACGGGAGGCAGCAGUAGGGAAUCUUCCGCAAUGGACGAAAGUCUGACGGAGCAACGCCGCGUGAGUGAUGAAGGCUUUCGGGUCGUAAAACUCUGUUGUUAGGGAAGAACAAGUGCUAGUUGAAUAAGCUGGCACCUUGACGGUACCUAACCAGAAAGCCACGGCUAACUACGUGCCAGCAGCCCGCGGUAAUACGUAGGUGGCAAGCGUUAUCCGGAAUUAUUGGGCGUAAAGCCCCCGCAGGUGGUUUCUUAAGUCUGAUGUGAAACCCACGGCUCANCCGUGGAGGGUCAUUGGNAACUGGGAGACUUGAGUGCAGAAGAGGAAAGUGGANUNCAUGUGUAGCGGUGAAAUGCGUAGAGAUAUGGAGGACACCAGUGGCGAGGCGACUUUCUGUCUGUACUGACACUGAGCGCGAAACGGGGGGAGCAACAGGAUAGAU
rnacentral:rRNA from 1 species